CUCUAUAAAAGUAAAUCAUAAGAUUUCUUGUUCCACUUGUAUGAUUAGAUAUCUGUAUUUAAUAUUCUAAGUCUUGCAGCUUACAUAUAUCCAGUAAAUUUGUACCCUAAAUAUUUAGAACUGGGUCCUCAUUAUUUCUAGGAAUAACUUGAUCUACAUGAUAAACUUCUGGGAGUAAAUUAUUCAUACUUAAAUCAUUUAAAUCUAGAGAAUCGUUUUCAAAAAGUCUGCAUAUUUUGCAAUCCUUGAAUUAAAAUCUCCAAUAAGUUCAGUUUUUCCAAGAUUAGAAAAUUAACUAAAUUGAGACUGUAGAAAUUCAUAGUCAUUGUCAUAGUGUGUGGAAUUUAUUGGUGGGAUAUAUAUAGCACAGAUAAAAAUAUCAAACUGCAGUUUGACAAGCACUUAUUUUGAUAAUCGAGCAGCUUAAUAUUCCCUUAACAAACACAACAUAAUUUAAAUGUUUAGCUGAUUUUACAGAGUUAUCUCCCUGUAGUGUUAGGUACCACCUUAAUAUAGUAAUCAACUUCAGUUUUAUUCAACUCUUUGUAUGUCACUAAUCUGGUUAAAGUUUUUUACAUCAUAAUGUUCUAUCUAUUGUCUCUCUUAGUAUGCGUUACUUAUAUGUUGAAUGUAUUGAGUUAAAAGAAUAUGUUAAUAAAGUUGCAAAGUUUUCAAAAUAAUACAAUUUAGAAAUUAAAAUAUUAUUGUCCACUGUUUUCCACUGGUGAAGAUGUUAUAUAUUCCUCAUACUGUUACUUGUGUCAUUCAAUUAUCCUUCAAUUAUUACUGGUAUUUUUUUAUAACUACUGGUAGUCUGGUAUGUAUGUUCUUCUUCCACUAAUAGCAGUAGUGGUUUGUACUGUAUUUCUGCGAUCCUGCCGUUUCAACACAUAUUACAUCGUCAUCUUAAUCUUCAGGAUUGCUGAGGUGUAAGUAUUCUCUGUCAGUACAUCUAUGGUUGAUUUUUCUGGUGUCUUUUAUGUGUUAACCAGAGUUUAGGCUGGGUAUUUAGAUGGUGCUGCUACAAUUCUAAAUUUUGGAGUUAUUUCCUGUUUAGUGCUAGCUUCUACCGGUGGAAUCCAUUUGGCUAUUGGUUCUGCUGUGGCUUUAGGUCAGAGUUGCCAUUUUCUCCAUGAAGUCUGUUGUUGUUGUGCAUACACAAAAAUUGUCUGAAUUACAUUGUAUUUUUGUUAUAGUUAUCCAACACAAACCUUUUAUGCAGCCACAGUAGAAGUUACCUGAAA
rnacentral:lncRNA from 1 species